CUCCCUCUCCAUCUCUCACAAAUCCCAACCUUCAAUCGCUGUGUUGGGCGGAUUUCAGAUCUAGCAGGAGAGAGGGAGAUGAGAGAAUGCUUCUCAUUUUCUGGUGACAUUGAACACAGAGAAAUCCAACUGUGGCCCAAGAAAAAUUAAGGACUUUAAGUGGAGCCAGGAUCAAACACUAUUUGAAUCUUGGAGAGAUGGUCAUACUGGGUACCCUCUUAUAGAUGCAAACAUGAAAGAACUAUCCACCACCGGUUUCAUGUCAAACCGAGGACGACAGGUAUGGCUUGUGUUUAGGAAUUCCCUUUUUUACUUAACAAAGAAGAAAUAAAUCCAAUGUAGACAACCGUAAAUUUUAUUUUCUAAAGUUUAGUAAAUAUCUAGUAAUUGUACAGUGGAUCAAAAUGCAUGUCUCCUUUACAUUGCAAUUUCAGCACAGGGCAUGUAUUGGGCAGAUCCAGGAAUGUGGUAUUUUGGUAUGCAUUGAUGCAUAUGGAUGUAUUGCCUGUAAUGUUGUGGAUUGUAGAUUACUUGGCUUGGGUAUCCAACUCCAUCAAUAAUGGGGCCCGUAAUAUCAACAGUUUGUAUUAAUGAAUAGUAAUCACCCAGUUGUACAAACUGAAAACCCAAUGGUACCUUACAAACUUUCAGCCAAAGUAUUGUAUAAUACCAUGUAAAAAUCAUGUUAUACAUAUCAAAAAAGAAAAAUGCAGCACUUCUCACAAUUUCUAUGAAUAGCCUGAUUAGAGAUUUUAUCAAUAUAAAAAAAAUAAAAAUCUAUCUUUGACCAAAUGUAUUUCCUUCAAUGUCAAUGGUUAUAAAAUUUCAUGGUAUUUCUGGGGGUUAGCAUAUACAUGUCCUGGGUGGGCGAGUGGGUACAAUGGAGCACACCCUGCCCCACAAGCCGAGUAUUACAGAACCUUGUUAUGUUGUUGGCAACUGUAUAAAUGCUUGGCUUUUAAUUUCAUUUUGCCAACAAUCUCACCUUGGUGACCUGAGCCUGGCCCACAUGUUUGUAUGCAAGCACAAGUACUUAAUAGAUGUUCACUCCAUUGAUGAGAAACU